UGCACAGGUAGGGCUAGAGGGUCUCCCACCCUCUGAAACCCGGCGGGUUACGGGGGCCAGUAACUCAAUACUGGUGUAUAUAGGUGUAUAUAGCCUACUACACAAUCGCGAUGACCCCCGCCCCAUGGGGCUGGUGGUGGUGGGGCUAUCUCUGGAGGGAGGUAGCCACCAUCUUUACAGGGGGAAAGCGGCCAGGUCCGGAAGGGAGCAACCUAACCUCUGACACCAGCGUUCAUGGGUCUACGGGGUCGAGGUUCGAUUGUGUAGUAGGCUAUAUACACCUAUAUACACCAGUAUUGAGGGCUGUGCA
rnacentral:SRP_RNA from 1 species